rnacentral:misc_RNA from 1 species
AACGCACAUUGCGCCCCCUGGCAUUCCGGGGGGCAUGCCUGUCCGAGCGUCAUUUCUGCCCUCCAGCCCGGCUGGGUGUUGGGUGCUGUCCCCCCGGGGACACGCCCCAAAGGCAGUGGCGGCGCCGCGUCGGGUCCUCGAGCGUAUGGGGCUUUGUCACCCGCUCGGGACGGACUCGUCGGCGCUGGUCUUCCUCCAGGCGACCCUUCGGGGCCCGUCUACCUUCGGUUGACCUCGGAUCAGGUAGGGUUACCCGCUGAACUUAA